AUUGAACGCUGGCGGCAGGCCUAACACAUGCAAGUCGAACGAGUGGCGGACGGGUGAGUAAUGUCUGGGAAACUGCCUGAUGGAGGGGGAUAACUACUGGAAACGGUAGCUAAUACCGCGUACCAUCCGAUGUUCCCAGAUGGGAUUAGGUUGUUGGGGGGGUAACGGCCCACCAAGGCGACGCUCCCUAGCUGGUCUGAGAGGAUGACAAGCCACACUGGAACUGAGACACGGUCCAGACUCCAACGUGAGGGAGCAGUGGGGAAUAUUGCACAAUGGGCGCAAGCCUGAUGAGGCCAUGCCGGGUGUAUGAAGAAGGCCUUCGGGUUGUAAAGUACUUUCAGCGGGGAGGCGUUACCCGCAGAAGAAGCACCGGCUAACUCCGUGCCAGCAGCCGCGGUAAUUC
rnacentral:rRNA from 1 species